AAAUAGCUAAUUUUAUACGUCAAAAUAUAACAUAAUAUGAUCAUAUACGUCAAAGUGCGUAUCACAUACAAAAUUGGAUAAACGUUCUCGUUAAAACGUUCCCUUACCAGAUGAAAACACUAUGCUCAAUGACAGUGAAUAAUGGAGUCGAUGUUAAGUCGGAAAAAAACUUUCAGCUUCGAGUUAGUUUAUUAUAAUGCACACAAUAUCACGCAUCGUAACAUGACAUUUUGCAACAAGAGACGGGAUUUACUGCUAUGAUGUCUUCUGUUU